AUGGAUCCCUCUUCGGCCACGAAAGCCACACUGAAAGUCCUGGGCCUCUGCUUCAUCCUCCUGCUCCUGGUGGCCGCCGUGACGGUCUCCGUGGCCGUCCUGGUGAGGCACUCGGAGGCCACCCGCCAGCUGAGAGGGUGCCAGGAGAGGGCCGCCAACGAGACGGGGGCCCUGGCCGACCGGGUGGCCGAGCUGGAGCGCGAGAGAGCCCAGCGGGGCAAGCAGUUGGAGAAGCUGGCCCAGCGGGAGAAGGACCUCCAGAGGCAGCUCGGCCAGGCCAAGGAAAGCCGGAAGAGGCUCAACGCCACCGUGAUGGGCUGCCUGGAGAACGUGACCCGGUUGGAUGCCAACCUAUCGGCCCUCCAGAACGAGAUGUUCACCCUCCAGGCUGAAGGAAUGGAUGUGAACAGUCAGAAUGGGGCCCUCCUAGCGGAAAUGGCCCAGUGGCGUGAGCAGGUGACGGGACUCGAAGGCCGGCUGGCGGGCGCCGUGGAUGCGCGAGAUGCCGCCGAGGCCGAGAAGGAGGCCUGCAACGCCAGGCAGGAUGCGCUCCAAGAAAGCCUGCAGAGCUACCUGGCUGAGAUCGCCUCCCUCCAGCGCCGCCUCCAGGGCCGGUCCUCGCCCUCGUCCUCGUCCCGCCGCAGGUGCCCCCCCUUCCGGUACUUAUUCUGGGGGCUGGUGACCCUUUGCGCUCUGUUCCCCCUUGAAGGGCUGAGCUUUCUCCUCUAGUCUAGAGGACCUAAACGGUGCCUUUGACGGGCAGGAGAUGAGGAAACGGUGUUUUUCUUCACCCAUUGUCUUCAAGGAUGAGGAGACCCACUCCAGAUCUGCUGGGAUAUUACACUUUCAAGAAAGAACCAAGAGGGAGAAAAAUUCAGGGUGCUCCUAACCAUCAAAACAAGACAAUUUUAAAAAAAUGUGUUGGAAUGUAACUUUCCAAUGAAUUAAAAUUUAUGAAUUUUUUUCCUGUCAAGUUGGAUGUUUUUUUUAAAAAAAAUUCAAUCUCAGGGUUGCAAAGAAGGAACACCGCCAUUUAAUAUAUAUAUAUGUUAUCAUUUUUACGGCUUUUUUCCCCUCCUUGAAUCAGCUCCACUUGUCCAGGGCUCUUCUGCCUGAUUCGCCCUCUGAACAGCCCUAUGAGGUAGGCCGGUCUGAGACGGAGUGUAACAGAUCCCCAGACUCACCUAGGGAUAUGUCAUGGC
rnacentral:lncRNA from 1 species